rnacentral:rRNA from 1 species
GAUGAACGCUGGCGGUCUGCUUAACACAUGCAAGUCGAACGGAAUCCUUCGGGAUUUAGUGGCGGACGGGUGAGUAACGCGUGAGAAUCUGCCUUCAGGUUCGGGACAACAGCUGGAAACGGCUGCUAAUAUCGGAUGUGCCGAGAGGUGAAAGCUUUAGUGCCUGAAGAUGAGCUCGCGUCUGAUUAGCUAGUAGGAGUGGUAAUGGCACCCCUAGGCGACGAUCAGUAGCUGGUCUGAGAGGAUGAUCAGCCACACUGGGACUGAGACACGGCCCAGACUCCUACGGGAGGCAGCAGUGGGGAAUUUGCCGCAAUGGGCGCAAGCCCGACGGAGCAAGACCGCGUGAGGGAAGAAGGUCUGUGGAUUGUAAACCUCUUUUGAUGGGGAAGAAGACAGUGACGGUACCCAUCGAAUCAGCCUCGGCUAACUCCGUGCCAGCCGCCGCGGUAA